CCUACGGGUGGCUGCAGUGGGGAAUAUUGCGCAAUGGAUGAAAGUCUGACGCAGCAACGCCGCGUGAGUGAAGAAGGCCUUCGGGUUGUAAAGCUCUGUCGAACGGGAAGAAAAAUCUUUCGGUUAAUAGCCGAGAGACUUGACGGUACCGUUAGAGGAAGCACCGGCUAACUCCGUGCCAGCAGCCGCGGUAAUACGGAGGGUGCAAGCGUUGCUCGGGAGUAUUGGGCGUAAAGGGUAGGUAGGUUGUGAAAUCCUUGAGCUUAACUCAAGAACUGCCUUAGAAACGGCGAGACUAGAGUACUGGAGAGGGUCGCGGAAUUCCCGGUGUAGCGGUGAAAUGCGUAGAGAUCGGGAGGAACACCUGAAGCGAAGGCGGCGGCCUGGACAGUUACUGACACUAAACUACGAAAGCGUGGGGAGCAAACAGGAUUAGAUACCCCGGUAGUC
rnacentral:rRNA from 1 species